rnacentral:rRNA from 1 species
GGGGAAUCUUAGACAAUGGGGGCAACCCUGAUCUAGCCAUGCCGCGUGAGUGAUGAAGGCCCUAGGGUUGUAAAGCUCUUUCAGCUGGGAAGAUAAUGACGGUACCAGCAGAAGAAGCCCCGGCUAACUCCGUGCCAGCAGCCGCGGUAAUACGGAGGGGGCUAGCGUUGUUCGGAAUUACUGGGCGUAAAGCGCACGUAGGCGGACCAGAAAGUUGGGGGUGAAAUCCCGGGGCUCAACCUCGGAACUGCCUUCAAAACUAUUGGUCUGGAGUUCGAGAGAGGUGAGUGGAAUUCCGAGUGUAGAGGUGAAAUUCGUAGAUAUUCGGAGGAACACCAGUGGCGAAGGCGGCUCACUGGCUCGAUACUGACGCUGAGGUGCGAAAGCGUGGGGAGCAAAC